rnacentral:rRNA from 1 species
GUCUUUAAGAAAAUAUUAAUUUAAAGUCUAAUCUGCCCAAUGAUAAAUUAAAUGGCUGCAGUAAUUUAACUGUACAAAGGUAGCAUAAUAAUUUGUUUUUUAAUUAAAAACUAGAAUGAAAGAUUAAAUGAAAUAAAAUCUGUUUCAAUUAUAUAUUAAUUUAAUUUUUUAUUUAAGUAAAAAAACUUAAAUAAAUUUUAAAGACGAUAAGACCCUAUAGAAUUUAAUUUAAUAAUAAUUUUUUUUUUAUUAAAUUUUAUUGGGGUAAUAAAAAAAUUUAAUUAAUUUUUUUUAAAAAUAACAUUAAUUUAUGAAUUUUUUAUCUUAAAUUUUAAAUUUUAAAAAUUAAUUACCUUAGGGAUAACAGCAUAAUUUUUUUUGAAAGUUCAUAUUUAUAAAAAAGAUUAU